CAGAAAGACACUGGCACCAGGGGCGGAAAAAAAAAGCUCUCGCGACUGGUGCUGCUAAGAGCAGAAAAGUUUCAGAUAUGUUAGCGGGGGCCGGCCUGGCUUCAGCUGCGCCUGCGGGUCCCUCUCAGCAGCAGGUGGUGUCGGUGUCGGACAGUGAAAAGUGGAAGUAAGGUUGCCGCUGCCAUGGAGGUGGUACAGGAGCAGGAGGAGAUUGGUGGUGGUGGUGAUAGUAGGGCUGAGGAGGGCUUUAUAUUUGUUCCAGUGUGUGCUUUGUGAGGGACUUACAGUUGUCUUCCUUGUUGCCAGUGUCCUGAUGUGCUUUAGCCAGCAUCCUCCUUGGCUCUCUAUUUGUGUGAUUGUGAGUGACCUACAGUACCUUGCUGCCAGCCUGCCAAUGCCAUGACAGUUUCACCGCCUAUGAGUGAGUGAUAAAUAAACACUCUUGAAUCUUAAA